rnacentral:rRNA from 1 species
UACGUAGGUGACAAGCGUUGUCCGGAUUUACUGGGCGUAAAGAGCGCGCAGGCGGUCGAUCAAGUCGAGUGUGAAAAGCCCCCGGCUCAACUGGGGAGGGUCACGCGAUACUGAUCGACUGGAAGGCAGGAGAGGGUAGUGGAAUUCCCGGUGUAGUGGUGAAAUGCGUAGAUAUCGGGAGGAACACCAGUGGCGAAGGCGACUACCUGGCCUGUUCUUGACGCUGAGGCGCGAAAGCUAGGGGAGCAAACGGG